UAUAUUUUAGUGUAAAAUGCACAAUGAUUUUUGAUUUCAUGAGAUUUAGAUUAUAUCUAAAAAAUAUAA
rnacentral:tRNA from 1 species